rnacentral:rRNA from 1 species
AGUGAACGCUGGCGGUAGGCCUAACACAUGCAAGUCGAACGGCCGCACAGUAAGAGCUUGCUCUUACGGGUGGCGCGUGGCGGACGGGUGCGGAAUACAUCGGAAUCUACUUUUUCAUGUGGGCUAACGUCGGGAAACUUCCGCUAAUACCGCAUACGACCUACGGGUGAAAGCAGGGGAUCUUCGGACCUUGCGCGAUUGAAUGAGCCGAUGUCGGAUUAGCUAGUUGGCGGGGUAAAGGCCUACCAAGGCGACGAUCCGUAGCUGGUCUGAGGGGAUGAUCAGGCAGACUGGAACUGAGACAGGGUCCAGACACCGACGGGAGGCAGCAGUGGGGAAUACUGGGCGAGGGGGGCAAGGCGGAUCCAGCCAUACGGCGGGAGUGAAGAAGGACUCAGGGUGGGAGAGUCCUUUUGGUGUGAAAGAAGAGCAGCAGUUUAAUCCCCCGCGGUUCUGACGGUACCCAAAGAAUAAGCACCGGCUAACUUCGUG